rnacentral:rRNA from 1 species
GAUGAACGCUGGCGGCGUGCCUAAUACAUGCAAGUCGAGCGAACGGACGAGAAGCUUGCUUCUCUGAUGUUAGCGGCGGACGGGUGAGUAACACGUGGAUAACCUACCUAUAAGACUGGGAUAACUUCGGGAAACCGGAGCUAAUACCGGAUAAUAUUUUGAACCGCAUGGUUCAAAAGUGAAAGACGGUCUUGCUGUCACUUAUAGAUGGAUCCGCGCUGCAUUAGCUAGUUGGUAAGGUAACGGCUUACCAAGGCAACGAUGCAUAGCCGACCUGAGAGGGUGAUCGGCCACCCUGGAACUGAGACACGGUCCAGACUCCUACGGGAGGCCGCAGUAGGGAAUCUUACGCAAUGGGCGAAGGCCUGACGGAGCAACGCCGCGGGAGUGAUGAAGGUCUUCGGCUCGUAAAACUCUGUUAUUAGGGAAGAACAUAUGUGUAAGUAACUGUGCACAUCUUGACGGUACCUAAUCAGAAAGCCACGGCUAACUACGUG